CUUCUCUGCGUGCGCCCGUGUCGCUGCAUCUUCUGAACCCGCGCGAAUUUCAAAUAAAAACUAAAUAAAACUUACGAUGUUCGAAAGAGAUGUGACUUAAAAUCUGUUCAUGAAAAAUGUAGUUUUUAAUCAACGAUUUAAUCAUGAUUUCAUUUUUAAAUAUAACGUAUAACAUUUAUUUUUAUUUAAAAAGUGAAUUCGCGUAGUGUUUUGUCAAUGACUAAACUAAUUUAAGGAGAUAAGUGGAAUAUUGGGGGUCGCCGAAUUUCGAGUCAAGGACCAAUUGAAUUAUUUCCGCAAAAAGUACUUCUUGGGGGCGAAGUCGCGGUGUAGCG